rnacentral:lncRNA from 1 species
GCUCCAACUAACUCCAUUGCUUGAGUAGAAUGGCCACCACUGAUGUGGAUCAGGAAGGACAAGUUCUACGGCUUCAAGCCUGUCUGAUGGAAACCUUAAAGGCACAAGAACAGGCUGUUCCUGAAUGCUGUAAGGCGAGCCGAAGGGGAAGAAGACCGGUGUGGAUGAAGCAGGAACUACUGUUGAUACUCUGGGAAGAAAAGGAGUCUAUUUCCUCCAGAAGAAGGGAUAGGCUACUUGGGGAGAUUACAAAGAAGUUGCUAAGAAACAGCUCAUAGCACACAAAGGAGGAGUUACCGGUCAGUUUUUGUGCUGGAAGAUCACCGUGGGGGUCCACAGGGAUGUAUUCAUCAGUGAAGUGAGAAAGAGAACGAAUGGUGAAGUGACACAGUUUGCUAAGUUAUUCACCAUAACAAAGACAUAGUGAAAGCAAGUGGCACUGGACUGAACAACAGAGAAGUCUUAUAAAUCUGUAAGUCACAAGUAAAUUGCUUAGCACCACUUUGGGCCUAAACUCUUGCAUCUUGACUGCUCUGCUCUUUUUAAUCCAGGAUAAGUUGAAGAAGAAACAAGACUAAGUUACAAACAAGCUUUUUAAGACAGGAUGAGCUUGCAUUCAUUGUAUGAGUUCGUGAGCUUGCAUAAGUGACACUGUGCUGUAGAAUGAUUCCAGAGUGAGUACUUCUUCAGUUACUCUGAAAUAACUAACGCAAGUGUGGACCUUUAACCAUGCAGUGAGUGCUUAAACAGAGAAACUACCCAAACUUCGGCUGAGUUGGCACCGCAUGAAUUCCACUUCCUUGUUUUUCUAACAAGGCUUUAUGAUACCUUCAAGUUAAAGAUGGUGUAAUCUGGAAGCUAGCCCAAAAUAAGAUCCCCAGCAUAUCCUAUGGUGAAAAAUCACCUUAUUUCCUCCACUUGGUCCCAUGCUGGAACUCUUUCUGUAUCAUAAAUCAUAAAUUUAAGGUGUUAUACAUAAUCUUUUUAGAAGUUUUGCAUUCACUGCCUUAUACAGGUAGAAUAAUGAUAAUAAAGUUAUGUCAG